rnacentral:rRNA from 1 species
GACGAACGCUGGCGGCGUGCUUAACACAUGCAAGUCGAACGGUGAAAGGGAGCUUGCUCCCUGGAUCAGUGGCGAACGGGUGAGUAACACGUGGGCAACCUGCCCCAGACUUCGGGAUAACGCUUCGAAAGAGGUGCUAAUACCGGAUACGAACUCCUUGGGCAUCCUUGGAGCUGGAAAGUUUUUCGGUCUGGGAUGGGCCCGCGGCCUAUCAGCUUGUCGGUGAGGUAACGGCUCACCAAGGCGACGACGGGUAGCCGGCCUGAGAGGGCGACCGGCCACACUGGGACUGAGACACGGCCCAGACUCCUACGGGAGGCAGCAGUGGGGAAUAUUGCGCAAUGGGCGAAAGCCUGACGCAGCAACGCCGCGUGAGGGAUGACGGCCUUCGGGUUGUAAACCUCUUUCAGCAGGGAAGAAGCGAAGGUGACGGUACCUGCAGAAGAAGCACCGGCUAACUACGUGCCAGCCGCCGCCGUAA